AACGGAGAUAUUUGAUUGGCUCGUCAGCCAAUGGCGCUAGUCGAGGGUGCAACAUGUUCCGCUGUGAUCGCGGAAGUAUAGUUCGUGCUGAGAUUGAGUCAGGUCCUGCAGCUAUCUACCCGAUCGAGCUGUUCUCACAUCUACGCAGUUAUGGCAACCGCGGAGAGUGCCUUCAACCUUCAAGAACGUUACCGUGCAGCUAUGGUACUCAGUGGCACAGGAGAUGCUCUUGGGUAUUACAAUGGACGCUGGGAAUUUUGCUCUUCUGGCCUUACCAUAUUCAAUGAGGCAGAAGAAAUGGGUGGAGUUGAAAACAUUCAAGUGAAGCGUCCUAACUGGAUUGUAAGUGAUGACACAGUGAUGCACCUUGCUACUGGUGAAGCUCUUGGUGAGACUAGUGGGCAACCUGACCGUGAGAAACUUUUUUCAUCUUUGGCUUCGUACUACAAAUCAUGCAUGAAAGACAUGGCUGGACGAGCUCCAGGUGCUACAUGUAUGUCAGCAUCCCACAAGCUUCAACCACAUUUAAAAGAUGGCUAUCAUAUACCUUUUAAUCCAAGAGGGGGUGGAUGUGGGGCUGCCAUGAGGGCCAUGUGCAUUGGACUUCGCUAUCCAAGACCAGAUGAUCUAAAGGAUCUGGUGGCUGUGAGUGUGGAGUCUGGGCGCAUGACUCAUCAUCAUCCAACAGGAUACCUUGGGAGCUUGGCAUCUGCACUUUUUACAGCAUUGGCUAUGCAAGGUAGAGCUGUCAAAGAAUGGGGUAGAUGUUUGCUUGACACAUUGCCAUUAGCAUUAACCUACAUUAAAGAGACAGGUUAUGCUGUAGAAGAGAACAAGCAAGCAUGGUCAUACUUUUCUGAAAGGUGGACAGAGUAUUUAAAAGAGCGCAAUUUAGUGAAUGGGACAGCAGAUCCUGUGUUUCCUACAAAAUAUGGUUUUCCUGAAAGAGAUGCAUUCUAUAAAAAGCUCAGCUUUGCUGGCUGGGGAGGAAGCAGUGGCCAUGAUGCUCCUAUGAUUGCGUAUGAUGCUUUGCUUGGUGCUGGCUCCAACUGGAAGGAACUUGCUCACAGGUUUCUUUUGGGACAGGUCCAUGUUUCACGGUGGUGAUUCUGACAGUACAGGUGUCAUUGCCGCCUGUUGGUAUGGAGCUUUAUAUGGCUUUCAGGGAGUUCCAGAAGGCAAUCACAAGUUUGUUGAGUAUAGGGAUCGCCUUGUGAAAGUGGCUGACACUUUGUUAGAUCUAGCCAUGCCUUGUUAUGCACAAGGAAAAGCAUAAAAAACGAUGACAGGACCUCAACUGAGUUCUGCCAUGAUGUGUAAGGCAGUGCUGGAGACAAAACAUAAGCAUAAAGACUUACACAAUUAAACGAAGAUUAUAACUCUUUUCCCAUCAGUGAGCAUUAGGAAAAUCUUGGCUGUCUUUCAGUGUGAGUUCAGUUUACUUUUCACAGCUGAAUCACUUUCAAUUGGGCCUCACUAUAUGGUUGUAUACAUGUAUAGUAUAAGUAAUUAAAACAUUGCACCUCUGACCAGAAAGUUCACUUAAAUGAUUAAAUUAGCUCUGUGCUCUACAGUGUGUACUGGUACAACCAGCUGAAAACUGCAAUUUGUUUCCAUGUUUUAUAUUUCUAUAACUUUGUGUAAUUUCAUAACCUCAGGGUACAUGCUAAAAACUUCUAUUUUCUUGUAGAUGAGUAAUAUUGUUGUUGUUAAAUGAAAAUAAUCAGUAGAAUAACAUUUCUUUCACAAUUUGUCAUUAAAACCAAAAUGUAAUUUAUCUGCUAAAUUGAAGUUCAUUUUUAAAAGCAGAUACUUUUAUACGU
rnacentral:misc_RNA from 1 species